rnacentral:rRNA from 1 species
AGUGAACGCUGGCGGUAGGCCUAACACAUGCAAGUCGAACGGCAGCACAGUAAGAGCUUGCUCUUACGGGUGGCGAGUGGCGGACGGGUGAGGAAUACAUCGGAAUCUACUUUUUCGUGGGGGAUAACGUAGGGAAACUUACGCUAAUACCGCAUACGACCUACGGGUGAAAGCAGGGGAUCUUCGGACCUUGCGCGAUUGAAUGAGCCGAUGUCGGAUUAGCUAGUUGGCGGGGUAAAGGCCCACCAAGGCGACGAUCCGUAGCUGGUCUGAGAGGAUGAUCAGCCACCCUGGAACUGAGACACGGUCCAGACUCCUACGGUAGGCAGCAGUGGGGAAUAUUGGACAAUGGGCGCAAGCCUGAUCCAGCCAUACCGCGUGGGUGAAGAAGGCCUUCGGGUUGUAAAGCCCUUUUGUUGGGAAAGAAAAGCAGCAGGUUAAUACCCCGCUGUUCUGACGGUACCCAAAGAAUAAGCACCGGCUAACUUCGUG